rnacentral:rRNA from 1 species
UAGGGAAUCUUCCACAAUGGACGCAAGUCUGAUGGAGCAACGCCGCGUGAGUGAAGAAGGUCUUCGGAUCGUAAAACUCUGUUGUAAGAGAAGAACGUGUGUGAGAGUGGAAAGUUCACACAGUGACGGUAACUUACAGAAGGGACGGCUAACUACGUGCCAG